CCUCGGGAGGCAGCAGCGGGGAAUAUUGCACAAUGGGGGAAACCCUGAUGCAGCGACGCCGCGUGAGUGAAGAAGUAUUUCGGCAUGUAAAGCUCUACCAGCAGGGAAGAAGAAAGACGGUACCUGACUAAGAAGCCCCGGCUAACUACGUGCCAGCAGCCGCGGUAGUACGUAGGGGGCAAGCGUUAUCCGGAUUUACUGGGGGUAAAGGGAGCGUAGACGGCUGUGCAAGUCUGAAGUGAGAGCCCAGGGCUCAACCCUGGGACUGCUUUGGAAACUGUGGAGCUAGAGUGCUGGAGAGGGAA
rnacentral:rRNA from 1 species